rnacentral:rRNA from 1 species
CCUUCUGUAGGUGAACCUGCGGAGGGAUCAUUACUGA